UACGUAGGGUGCAAGCGUUGUCCGGAAUUAUUGGGCGUAAAGAGCUCGUAGGCGGUCUGUCGCGUCGGCUGUGAAAACUCGGGGCUCAACUCCGAGCCUGCAGUCGAUACGGGCAGACUAGAGUGCUGUAGGGGAGACUGGAAUUCCUGGUGUAGCGGUGAAAUGCGUAGAUAUCGAGAGGAACACCUGCGGCGAAGGCGGGUUGCUGGGCCGACACUGACGCUGAUGCGCGAAAGCCAGGGGAGCGAACGGG
rnacentral:rRNA from 1 species